rnacentral:rRNA from 1 species
AACGAACGCUGGCGGCAUGCCUAACACAUGCAAGUCGAACGAGCCCUUCGGGUCUAGUGGCGCACGGGUGCGUCACGCGUGGGAACCUUCCCUUAGGUUUGGAAUAACUCCCCGAAAGGGGUGCUAAUACCGGAUAAUGUCUUCGGACCAAAGAUUUAUCGCCUUUGGAUGGGCCCGCGUUGGAUUAGCUCGUUGGUAGGGUAAAAGCCUACCACGGCAACGAUGAGUAGCUGGCCUGGGAGGAGGAUCAGCCACACUGGAACUGAGAGACGGCCCAGCCGCCUACGGGAGGCAGCAGGACCGAAUCUUCCGCAGUGGGCGAAAGCCGGACGGAGCAACGACGGGUGAGAGACGAAAGCCUUCGGACCGUGAAACUGUGUGAUGACUGAAGAACAUAUAUGUAAGUAACCCUGCACAUCUAGACGGUACCCAAUAAGAAAGCCCCGGCUAACUACGUG